UAUUUUUCGCAGCUCUCUACUCUUUCCUUCUUCAUUAAGCUUCUUCAUCUUCCUCAAGAGUUUCUCCUUCCUAAACCCUAGCUCCUAAUGUUGGUUGGUGAGGUUAUGGACUAAGAAGGUAGGGAUGGCGGUGAAAUAGGUUGGGAGUGAAGCUUAAGGAUGGAUUUUUGGGGUUUAAGCUUUGGAGAAACAAUGGAUGAUAUAAGGCAACAAAAAUCCAUAUGGUGCAAAUUCAAUGAUGAUGCCGGGUUGGUUUGGGUCACGAUGAGGAGUUCCCCAUUUGAAAGAGGGUGAUGCUCGGCCGCAAGGAGGGAGACCAAGAUGGGCGGCGCCACCAAAUUCUAAGAUGGGUCAUUGGUUGAUUCUCUUGAAGAAGAUUGCUCAGUCUCAUAAUUUGCUUCCUGAGUUUGAUAUAUGUAGAAGAAGUGUGUUGAAAAAGAUUUUGGGGUAUUUUCUAAAUAGUUGUUAGAGUUGAUUGGGUUAGUGUGGUUUUUUAUUCUAUCAGAUUUCUAUUUUUUUUUAUUUAUUAAAAUGCAUCUUAUUAUUUAUAUACACAAGAACUGUUGUCCAUUGUCACAUUCUUAGUGGCAUUUUUUUAAUCAAUUCCUUUUAACUUUUUUAAUCUUCUAGGCGUAGAAGUUUAUUUGCAGAUGUAGAAAAUUGUAACUUUACUAUUUCUUAUGAAGAGAUAGUUAAACUGGCAGAUUAUGAAGAGA